rnacentral:snRNA from 1 species
CUAGCUUGACCGUGACACUGAAGACACUUUCUGUUUUAAUCAGUGUGAAAACUGAUUUCCACACUUCGGUGUGGUUUUUUUUCACAUUCAUUUUUUACACUGACUAUUGGACUGGUUUCCGAGGGCCCAGCACUUCUCCCUUGUGAAGCCUAACUUCU